CCCAGCAUAAAGUUUCAACAAACCAGGACCUGGACCCAGAGUCUUCAGAGGGCUUAGCUGUUCCAGAAACCAGUCAAAAUACAGCUGAAUCAGAGGACGGUCUGUCUUAUGCCUCCAUCAACUUCAAGAAAUCCAAAAAGAAAACAGGCAAUUUCCCUGAAACUGUGAUCUACAGCACUGUGGGAACGUCUUCCUCUGCUUCAGGAGUCUCCUCUGACACAGACUGCCUUUAUUCUACAGUCAACAAGACAUAGAAAAAGCAUUGAAAGCUUUGCAGCUUGAGCAAAGACCCAAGGUACUGAGGCCGAGUCUUCAGCGCAGCGGGUCUCAACUCCCGGCCCAAGAAUCUGCUGUAUAUUCUUCUUUCCUCUCUGUCCAGCA